UAUGUCAGAGACAGGUGUAGCAAUAAUGUGGAUUCUCUGGGAAAUUCUGAGAAUUACUGAACCUCCAACAUGUUCCAAUUGGUGUCCCGUCAGUGGAAUCAGUUGAUGCUGAUUCUGAAGGAUUCAAACUUCCUACGAGCUGAAGCCUUCAACCUUGAAAAGAGAAGAAGGAACCAUCAAGUUGGGAUGGAAGGCUGCCAAGAAGAAUACUUUCAAGCCUGGAAGAUGACGAUGUUCAAUGAAUCAGACAGGAGUCGGGUCUGCAGAGACAAACGCGCGCAAAGCAGGCGAGCGAGAACGUUGCAAGAAGCUGCAGCAGCAGGAGAUGAAGACCACUGAUGAGGAGACUGGAUGGAGUGACAAGCAGAGACGAGUCAGUGAACAGCCCCAGUUGCUCCAGAGAAGGCCUAAAGACUGUCAAUCCAUGAAUGAGCUGAACACUGGUGACAGCAUGCCAAGUGGAUUAGAGGGGAGAGAAAGUGCCUUUGAACAGCAGCUGUGUUCCUAAGGAAGGAGAAGGGUCUGUUUGUACAGACACAAUCAAGCUGCCUUGCUGCUUUCCUCAGGGUCCACUAAAGCAGAGGUAGUAAGAGCCCAGCAGGCACACCUCCUGAGAGACGUGGGAUCUGCUGCAAGCCACCAUCUCUAUUGUCUGUUACUGUCUCCCUUUGGGAAGGAAUCCCCACAGCAUCAAGCGCAUGUCAGCUCUACUACAGCCUGGAAUGCAGCUUACCCUCACAACAAGCAUCCUGUGGAAACAACAACUUGAGAAUGAGUAACACAGAGACAAAAUAAUUAAGAGACGGAAGGCAUUCCUCCUUUGUACAUCAUGCCAGUGAAUGACGUUUGUAGUGGCUAUUUAAAUUGUUCCACAGGAAAGGAAUGAGGUGGUUCGCAGAAACUUUUCAUUGUUUCUGGAUAAGAUGGAAGUUACCACAGACUAUUGCAGCAUUCUACCCGAAGUGACUGCCCACCCUUUUUAUGUUUAGACUGGAAGCGCUGAGCUGUGUCUCUUCAACCUGUAUGUUAAGAAAGUGACAAGUCUAUACUGGCAAAACAGAAUAAAAAGUGACACUGUGCCAAAUUGCCCUUUUUGAAAGCCAUCAGAGAAUCUUGUCAUUAUUCGUGUUGAUUGUGAUGAGAGACUGUAGAUUAUGGUUUCUUUUGGUUGCCACUAAACUAACAUCCACACGUCCAGAGCUGUUCAUUUUGCUUUGAGCAAUGUAAUGAUGUAAUGAAAAUGUACAGUACCCGUAUUUGAAAAGGUGAGGCCAACUUCAGGAAAAGUGGUUUUAGAGACAAAUAAAUAUUUA